UACGUAGGGUGCGAGCGUUAAUCGGAUUUACUGGGCGUAAAGCGUGCGCAGGCGGCCCGUUAAGACAGGUGUGAAAUCCCGGGGCUCAACCUAGGAAUUGCGCUUGUGACUGGCGGGCUCGAGUACGGUAGAGGGGGGUGGAAUUCCUGGUGUAGCAGUGAAAUGCGUAGAGAUCAGGAGGAACACCGAUGGCGAAGGCAGCCCCCUGGGCCUGUACUGACGCUCAUGCACGAAAGCGUGGGGAGCAAACAGG
rnacentral:rRNA from 1 species